GGAACCUUAAUUUUGUUUUAAAACCAAACAUUAGACAAUAAGAGAUUUCCAUCCACUCCGUUUCUACCAAACAAGCUGUCAGUCUUCAGUUAUUUCAACCAAUUCGUGAAUUACUUUCAACAACACCUUACAAUCCCUCAGAAUCUCACGAUGUUUGUAUCAAAUCUUUCCUCGAAUCACUUCUUCCUCCCAAAACCUUCGAUAGCAGCAAUAUACGAUCGCAAAUUAGGGAUUUCUCUCUCUGUUGCGCAUUA